AUUGAACGCUGGCGGCAGGCCUAACACAUGCAAGUCGAGCGAGCGGCGGACGGGUGAGUAAUGUCUGGGAAACUGCCUGAUGGAGGGGGAGAACUACUGGAAACGGUAGCUAAUACCGCAUACCAUCAGAUGUGCCCAGAUGGGAUUAGCUGUUAGGUGGGGUAACGGCUCACCUAGGCGACGAUCCCUAGCUGGUCUGCGAGGAUGACCAGCCCCACUGGACCUGAUACACGGUCCAGACUCCUACGGGGGGCAGCAGUGGGGAAUAUUGCACAAGGGGCGCAAGCCUGAUGCAGCCAUGCCGGGGGUAUGAAGAAGGCCUUCGGUUUGUAAAGUACUUUCAGCGGGGAGGCGUUACCCGCAGAAGAAGCACCGGCUAACUCCGUGCCAGCCGCCGCGGUAAUAC
rnacentral:rRNA from 1 species